CAACGUUUCGAACUUGCAAGAAAUACCAAAUUUUGGGGGGAAAAACCCUUAAAAAAAAAUCCUAAACACUAGCGCAUUGCUUUCCAUUUUCUUCAGUCGAUCCCUCGAAUUGGUUAAAGAUGUCAGGGUAUGAUGCUGGCCGAUUUCGAUGGCGACAUCGGCUGCUGCAGCUGCCUAGGGUUUCUAACGAAAGCAGGAAGAGAGAUGGGUUCCCUUCACUGGAGGUCGCGAGUUCUUGAUCGAUGGGUACUUUGAUGGACCCCAUAAGCGUUCUUCUUCUUUUCCUUCGGAAGAUUGCACGAUUUGCUAAGAAAAAUCCAGUUAAAGAGACGACAAUUCUUACCGGAGGCGAGGACUGCAGUGAAGAGGUCUGGGGGUCUCCAAGAACCCCUGUUUUUCCCCCCUGAAUGUUGUUUAGGUUCUACCUAUAAUUGUAAAGCUGCGGAUGCAUGAGUUCUUGGCAUUACAUUAUAUUGUAUGAUACUUGGUAAUUGCCCAUGUAUCGGGGCAGCCUGCAAGAUACUUAUGAAAAGAUAGUAAAACCCACUAUAUAUGCCUGAAGAGCUUGAUCCUGAGCUCAAAGACCUGCUCCAUGAACUUCUUUGUAAAGAUCCAAGGCAGAGGCUGACGUUAGAUUCGGCAGCUGAGCAUCCCUGGGUGGUUCGAAUUGGCAGCUCAAUUCCUCAGGUAACAUGCAGAUGUAAAAGUACUGGCAAAACCGUUGUUAAUUGCACUUUAUAAUAAAUUCUUUUGCCUUGUUGUAAUCCUCCGGUUAGCUAAAGGCUGUUAGUGGUCUCUGUUGAGGGCUUUGGCAUAUAAUGAUGGUAACAGAGAAAGGGAGUUUUUUUAGGGGGUUUAAGCUAAAAUCCCAACUUCGGUGGCGACCAGCGCCUUAUAUUGAUUAUUAAUGUUGUUACUGUCAUUAGUAGUUGCAGGUAUGUGUACAUGUGGAUCUAUGUGCAUGUUUCUUGCUAUGGGAGUGUGCGUAUCUUGAGAACUCAUUUGACAUAGUUUGGAUUUGGAAAUUAUUAUUAUUUUCGUUGAAGCAACAAAGUGACGCAACUUGUGUGUACGCAUUUCAGUUACUUGAUUUUUGAAGCUGAAUUCAGUUUGCAUUAGUUUUGUAUUAUAUGUACAAGUAUCGGUCACGAAUUGUCAGUAAAAUGUGCUGCUGAAAGAUAAACGUUGGUGAGAUCUAUCCAUGUGAUUUGACUAGUGUCAUUAGCCACUCGCUAAUUAAUCUCCUGGUAGUUCAUUUCAUUUACCAAAAUGAGGUGUUGCCACUUUUUUCCCCCUCCUUCCAUGUGUAUGUAUGGAAGUUUUUGCUACUUGAUACUCAUUUACAACCAAUUCAUAGAUUUCUGCACACGUAGGAUAUUUCAUGUAUAUACUCAUUAAAUUUGGUUGUUUUUGACCAAAAUACAAAGUUAUCCCCAUACGAUGUUUUAUGGGUGUCAUCGAAAUUUUUGGAUUUCUGUGGAUUAUAACCUGUGAAUUUAAUUGUUUUUGAACAAAUCACAAACUAUCAUCCCACGUGAAAUAUUUUAUACAUCCUCCUGCCGAAGUUUCUAAUUUCAACAGAUGAUGACUAAUUAUAUUAUCUAUUUUUUAUCAAUUAACAAAAAGCCAUUAAUGUAGUGUAUUUUAUGUGUACUAAUUUUUUUUUGAUUUGUUGUGGAUUAUAAUGCAUGAUUUAGGUUGUUUUUUCACUAAAACUACAAGUAAUAGUCCCUUAGGCUGCGUUUGGCAAGAGGAUAAAUGAGGGGUUAAGUGAGUUUAACCCCUUAUUAGCCUGCCAAACAGGAAAAAAAGAAGAAGGGUUAACAAACCCGCACGUGAGUGUUUUAUCCCAUUUAACCCGUCACAACACGGGAUAACUAUUCCUCGUGAGAAGGCGGAACAAGGCUUGUUCCGCCUUCUCACGGGAGGGUAGACGAAGGAAUUAUGAGGGGAGUUAUUUCAUGGGAGUUAUUUCAUCUGGAUCUCGUGAGGGAAAUUUUCCACUUCUUUCCUUCUAAAAUUUCCCCGCUAAAAUUUUCCCCCAUUCACUAGCUUACAACCUCCAGAACCUCCACGCCGAGCUCACCUUCGAUGUCUGCGGGGACCUCGACGACCUUACCCAAUCUCCGGCCAGAGAAACCCCGCUGCUUGGCUCCCCCUGCAAAGACAAAGGUCUCUUCACUUGCUUAGAUCAAUUUCAUGAUUAGUUUGUCGACUCAUAGCGGUAAGCUCCUUCUCCUUUCUCGUUUCAUUCUAGGUUUUCGAUUAUGAAUUUCAUGCUAGAGUUUGAUUCUCUUUGCCCUUUUCUCACCAUGGUAAAAAAAAUUAAAUCUUAUUUGUCAUCAAGUCGAUAACUACUAUUUUUGCAUGAAUUCGAUUUGGAUCUGAAAAUUAUGUAUUCAUUCUAGAGAUUAGUUCUUUUGAUUUUUCUUUUUAUGAUUUUGGUGAUCUGGAUUUAUUCCCUUUAAAGAUUGCCAAUAUAUUAUCAAUUGUUGGUGAGCGUAUUGGAAUUUGAGAGGGUUGGAGGUAUAAUUAGAAAAUCUUAUUUCUUGUUAGUAUGAGACUUUUAAUUAGAAGUACUAUCUUAUUUGAUAUGCCAAUUGCUUGACUACUUUAUUGAGAGAAAGAUGAAUAAAAAUUGCUUGCAUUGGAAAUAUAUAUUUAAAGAUAUUACUAGUUUCAUUUUCUUUGAAAUUUAAGUUUGUGGUUCUUCUUCUUAUCUUUAUGCUAUUGAUUUUAUUCAUUACUCGUCUUAUUAAGCUUCAAUGCUCUUCCAUCAUUUGUUUUUUUCCUUAGGCAUGUAGGUCUAUGUAGGCAUAGUAAGUUUGGCUACUCUCUCACUCAUUGUAUAGAAUCUUCAAGUUUAGUUGGCGUUCCAAAGGUGUUUGUUAUAAUUUCUCACUAAGAACUUGGACCAAAAUUACCUCAUUUGAUAAUUUCAUAGUUUUGCUUAAUUAUAUUGAUGCUUGUGCUUUUAGAAUUUAUAUAUCACAUAUAUAAGACUAAGUUUAAUGUUGGCUGUCAACUUAUGAAGUUAAAUUAAGAUUAUAUAGAUAUUUUUCAGAGAUUACAAUAAUGAACAAUUACACCACUUUUUUCCUUAGUAGAAAACAUUUUAGAAACUUAUGAAGUUUAUCAUGUUCUGCCCAACUAAGCUAUAUACAUAUUGUUUUCAUUUUUCGUCCAUAACUUAGAACAGGAGAUUACUGUAGCAUUGAAUUUUUUUUAUUUUCAAGUAUUGAAAAGAAUGUGUUGUGAUUAUUAUAAGCUUAAUUAAAAGCGGAACUCUUAAUCUAGUACAAAAAAUUUAGGAAAGGAAAAAAGGAUUUUUGCAAUGUAGUCCAUCUACAAAUGAUAAUGACUUUUCAUAUAGUUCAUAAAAAUCAACUUUCAUGCCUUUUUUAAUGACAUCUUUAUUUUCCUUUAUAUUUUCACUUAUUAUCUUGUGGGAUUGUAGGACGUUGUAAUCUUUGAAUUUUAAAGUAAUUAGGUGAAAGUUCUUUUGAAUAUAUAUGUGUGUAGUCAUGUCUUAAUGCAUAGCCUUGCUUAAUGCCUUUUUCUAUACAUGUAGGUGUAGGCUGUCUAAAAAUCAUUACAGAUAGAUGAUCCUCAUCAAACAUCAAUGAUGGAAGUUAUAACCUGACGACUUCCAUAUCAACAGAUGAAGUUUCAUUGCAAGAUCAACUUGAACUUUUGCAACAGUUUGGGCUGGACCUGCUUCCUGUUUUAACACAGAUAUAUGGCUCCAGCGUCAAUGGUCCAGUUCGCUAUAAAUGUCUAUCUGUAAUUGGAAAGCUUAUGUAUUUCAGCUUAGCUGCUUUCUAGCAGGUGUUCUGGCAUGGAAAGAUCCUCAUGUUUUGAUCCUUGCUCUUCAGAUAGCUGAAAUUUUUAUGGAGAAGCUUCCAGGAACAUUUUCCAAGAUUUUUGUUAGGGAAGGAGUUGUUCAUGCUGCAGAUGCAUUAAUAU